rnacentral:lncRNA from 1 species
AAACAAAUGGAAAACGCAGUUAGCGGCUCAGAUCAGCGACAUGAAUUCCUCGAUUUUCCUUAUUAUAUUAGACCAAUGACGGAGUAUAUUUAUCCUUCUCUCGCCAGUGGUAUACGAAAGGCGCUCUUCCAUCAUGUUACUCGACCUGGUCAACCCAAGUACAUUGCAAAUGGUGUUUGAUUAUAGCAAAGCAUCAUUAAAUUAAAUCUAUUUACGAGUUAUAAAUGUUAUUACUGAUCUUAUAGAGUUGGAAUAUUAUUAAGAGAAUUUCAAUUUCUC